rnacentral:tRNA from 1 species
GUACUCGUAGCUCAGUUGGAUAGAGCGUUGGCCUCCGAAGCCAAAGGUCGCAGGUUCAAGUCCCGCCGGGUACACCA